rnacentral:rRNA from 1 species
CACGAACGCUGGCGGCAGGCUUAACACAUGCAAGUCGAGCGCCCCGCAAGGGGAGCGGCAGACGGGUGAGUAACGCGUGGGAAUCUACCCAUCUCUACGGAAUAACGCAUGGGAACGUGUGCUAAUACCGUAUACGUCCUUCGGGAGAAAGAUUUAUCGAAGAUGGAUGAGCCCGCGUUGGAUUAGCUAGUUGGUGGGGUAAAGGCCUACCAAGGCGACGAUCCAUAGCUGGUCUGAGAGGAUGAUCAGCCACACUGGGACUGAGACACGGCCCAGACUCCUACGGGAGGCAGCAGUGGGGAAUAUUGGACAAUGGGCGCAAGCCUGAUCCAGCCAUGCCGCGUGAGUGAUGAAGGCCCUAGGGUUGUAAAGCUCUUUCACCGGUGAAGAUAAUGACGGUAACCGGAGAAGAAGCCCCGGCUAACUUCGUGCCAGCCGCCGCGGUAAAAC